GCGUGUAAGGUUUUGUGAAUGAUUUGAAGUCAUUCUUUUCAUAUUUAUUUAUGAUGCUCGCU
rnacentral:tRNA from 1 species